CAACCAUCAAGCCCCCGGCUUGUGUUGGGGACCUGCGGCUGCCGCAGGCCCUGAAAAGCAGUGGCGGGCUCGCUGUCACACCGAGCGUAGUAGAUUUCAUCUCGCUCUGGGCGUGCUGCGGGUUCCGGCCGUUAAACCACCUUCAUAACCCAA
rnacentral:misc_RNA from 1 species